UACGGGGGGGGCAAGCGUUGUUCGGAAUUACUGGGCGUAAAGGGCUCGUAGGUGGCCAACUAAGUCAGACGUGAAAUCCCUCGGCUCAACCGGGGAACUGCGUCUGAUACUGGAUGGCUUGAAUCCGGGAGAGGGAUGCGGAAUUCCAGGUGUAGCGGUGAAAUGCGUAGAUAUCUGGAGGAACACCGGUGGCGAAGGCGGUUCUCUGGGCCGACACUGACGCUGAUGCGCGAAAGCCAGGGGAGCGAACGGG
rnacentral:rRNA from 1 species